GAUGAACGCUGGCGGCGUGCUUAACACAUGCAAGUCGAACGAAGCAUUUAAGACGGAUUCUUUCGGGAUGAAGACUUUUAUGACUGAGUGGCGGACGGGUGAGUAACGCGUGGGUAACCCUGCCUCACACAGGGGGAUAGCAGUUGGAAACGGCUGAUAAUACCGCAUAAGCGCACAGUACCGCAUGGUACAGUGUGAAAAACUCCGGUGGUGUGAGAUGGACCCGCGUCUGAUUAGCUUGUUGGCAGGGUAACGGCCUACCAAGGCAGCGAUCAGUAGCCGACCUGAGAGGGUGACCGGCCACAUUGGGACUGAGACACGGCCCAGACUCCUACGGGAGGCAGCAGUGGGGAAUAUUGCACAAUGGGGGAAACCCUGAUGCAGCAACGCCGCGUGAAGGAAGAAGGUCUUACGGGA
rnacentral:rRNA from 1 species